CACAAGCGGAGGAACAUGUGGUUUAAUUCGAUGAUACGCGAGGAACCUUACCUGGGCUUAAAUGGGAGUGACAGCUGUCGUAAAGACGGUUUCCUCUUCGGAGGCACCUGCACAGGUGCUGCAUGGCUGUCGUCAGCUCGUGUCGUGAGAUGUUGGGUUAAGUCCCGCAACGAGCGCAACCCUUAUCCCUAGUUGCCAUCAGGUAAAGCUGGGAACUCUGGGGAGACUGCCGGUGAUAAACCGGAGGAAGGCGGGGAUGACGUCAAGUCCUCAUGGCCCUUACAUCCCGGGCUACACACGUGCUACAAUGGCAGGUACAGAGGGCUGCGAAGCCGCGAGGUGGAGCGAAUCCCAGAAAACCUGUCUCAGUCCGGAUUGAAGUCUGCAACUCGACUUCAUGAAGGCGGAAUCGCUAGUAACCGCGAAUCAGCAGGUCCGCGGUCCGAAUACGUUCCGGGCCUU
rnacentral:rRNA from 1 species